rnacentral:misc_RNA from 1 species
GAUGAAGAACGUAGCGAAAUGCGAUAAGUAAUGUGAAUUGCAGAAUUCAGUGAAUCAUCGAAUCUUUGAACGCACCUUGCGCUCCUUGGUAUUCCGAGGAGCAUGCCUGUUUGAGUGUCAUGAAUCUCUCAAACUCUUAGUUUCAUUACUGAGUGUUUGGAUUUGGAGGUCUAUGCUGGCGCAAGUCAGCUCCUCUUAAAUACAUUAGCUUGGGUCUUGCAUGUCUGGAUCCUUGGUGUGAUAAUUAUCUACGCCAUGAUGUCCCUUCAAGCCCUGCUUCUAAUCGUCUGAAUAAGACAAUUUAUUACUUGACAUCUGACCUCAAAUCAGGUAGGACUACCCGCUGAACUUAAGCAUAUCAUAAGCGGAGGA